UUUUCUAGGGCUCAAUCGGACUAAAACGAGACCAAAUGUGCUCCUUCAAGUCCAAUUUUAAAAUAAAAUCCCCAAUUCUACACUUUAAUUUUAAAAUUUCAAAUUUUUAUUAAAAAUAAAAUUCAAACAUUACAAUAAAAAAAUAUUACAUAAUUUAAAUAAUAAAAAAAAUACAUAAAGAAAAUAUAGGAUUUUAAAAAUUGAAAUAUUCAAUAUUACAUUAACUAAAAUAAAUAGGAUUUUAAAAGCAAAAAAAAAUUGACCGACCCCACCCCACCCCAGCCCACCCCACCCAGCCUUUUUUCCCUUCUUCUUCCCCAACUUCCCACCCAGCUGCUCUGCAAAUUUCUGCAUCGCUCUUCAAUUUUUUUUUUUAUUUCACGCGCGUGGCUUCCACGCAAAAUAAUUUUUCAGCCUUCGCCUCGUGUCUUCGCUUCGCCGCUGCUUCGAACCACGCCGCAUCUCCAGCGCGGCCACCACCCUGGCGACCCGGAUCGACGCCUCCUUCGACACACCCGCUGGAGAUGCUCUAAC
rnacentral:lncRNA from 1 species